rnacentral:lncRNA from 1 species
AAUAUUUAUAAAAAAUCAGCAUUUGGUGAGAUAAGAGUAGAGUAUUAUAUGAUUUAUUCUUUUAUGGAAAUUGUUUUACUGAAAGCGAAUGGAUGUUCAUAAAGAAAAAACUCUUCCUGUUUUCCCUGGUUAUCAAAGAGAACAGCUUAAGAGACACAACUUUCUUAGCAUCUGACAGCAUGUUGUCUUUAUAGCCUUUUCGAAUGCUUUUGGAAGGUUAUAGAGAUGCAUUAAGUUAGGAAAAUGAAACCAGAAAUUUCACGUAAGAAAUGGCUAUUAUCGUUGACAAAUAAGUUGUUUGGAACAAGCUGAGAAACUAUAGACAAAUCAAGUAAUGGAACAAGCAGUUCAAAUACAGCUCACUGUUUCCAAAUGCUGACUUCCAACCAAAAUAAACCUCAACAACUUUAAACUUCAAAAAACUCAAUUGCUUGAUUGAGGAUCGGGUUGGGUCCAGUUCUGGGUACCGAUCAAGUAUCAAAUAUUAUAUUUUGGAAAGUUAAUCAAGCUAAAACAAUGAAACAUCCUAUACAUGCUACAAAAAUUAAAUUAUGAAUAACAAGCACUUCAUGGUUAACUAUGUAAUAGUGAUUGACUAGAUAUUGAAAAUAUAUACUUUACUUAAAGUCAAGUAUAAACACCUAACCAUGUUCCAACAUGUUAU